AGCGGCGGAUGGGUGAGUAACACGUGGGGAACCUGCCCCUAAGUCUGGGAUACCAUUUGGAAACAGGUGCUAAUACCGGAUAAUAAAGCAGAUCGCAUGAUCAGCUUUUGAAAGGCGGCGUAAGCUGUCGCUAAGGGAUGGCCCCGCGGUGCAUUAGCUAGUUGGUAAGGUAACGGCUACCAAGGCGACGAUGCAUGGCCGAGUUGAGAGACUGAUCGGCCACAUUGGGACUGAGACACGGCCCAAACUCCUACGGGAGGCAGCAGUAGGGAAUCUUCCACAAUGGACGCAAGUCUGAUGGAGCAACGCCGCGUGAGUGAAGAAGGUUUUCGGAUCGUAAAGCUCUGUUGUUGGUGAAGAAGGAUAGAGGUAGUAACUGGCCUUUAUUUGACGGUAAUCAACCAGAAAGUCACGGCUAACUACGUGCCAGCAGCCGCGGUAAUACGUAGGUGGCAAGCGUUGUCCGGAUUUAUUGGGCGUAAAGCGAGCGCAGGCGGAAAAAUAAGUCUAAUGUGAAAGCCCUCGGCUUAACCGAGGAACUGCAUCGGAAACUGUUUUUCUUGAGUGCAGAAGAGGAGAGUGGAACUCCAUGUGUAGCGGUGGAAUGCGUAGAUAUAUGGAAGAACACCAGUGGCGAAGGCGGCUCUCUGGUCUGCAACUGACGCUGAGGCUCGAAAGCAUGGGUAGCGAACAGGAUUAGAUACCCUGGUAGUCCAUGCCGUAAACGAUGAGUGCUAAGUGU
rnacentral:rRNA from 1 species